rnacentral:rRNA from 1 species
GUGCCAGCAGCCGCGGUAAUUCCAGCUCCAAUAGCGUAUAUUAAAGUUGUUGUGGUUAAAAAGCUCGUAGUUGAACCUUGGGCCUGGCUGGCCGGUCCGCCUCACCGCGUGCACUGGUCCGGCCGGGCCUUUCCCUCUGUGGAACCCCAUACCCUUCACUGGGCGUGGCGGGGAAACAGGACAUUUACUUUGAAAAAAUUAGAGUGCUCCAGGCAGGCCUAUGCUCGAAUACAUUAGCAUGGAAUAAUAAAAUAGGACGCGCGGUUCUAUUUUGUUGGUUUAUAGGACCGCCGUAAUGAUUAAUAGGGACAGUCGGGGGCAUCAGUAUUCAACUGUCAGAGGUGAAACUCUUGGAUCAGUUGAAGACUAACUACUGCGAAAGCAUUUGCCAAGGAUGUUUUCAUUAAUCAGGAACGAAAGUUAGGGGAUCGAAGACGAUCAGAUACCGUCGUAGUCUUAACCAUAAACUAUGCCGACUAGGGAUCGGACGGUGUUAUUCAUGACCCGUUCGGCACCUUACGAGAAAUCAAAGUGCUUGGGCUCCAGGGGGAGUAUGGUCGCAAGGCUGAAACUUAAAGAAAUUGACGGAAGGGCACCACUCAGGGGUGGAGUCCUGCGGCUUAAUUUGACUCAACACGGGGAAACUCACCAGGUCCAGACACAAUAAGGGAUUGACAGAUUGAGAGCUCUUUUCUUGAUUUUGUGGGUGGUGGUGCAUGACCGUUCUUAGUUGGUGGGGGUGACUUGUCUGCUUAAUUGCGAUAACGAACGAGACCUUAACCUGCUAA